ensembl:lncRNA
CACCUAGGCUUUCUCCGGACCUGAAGAGCAAUGGUGCUGAGGAGGGCAGAGGAGCGUAGGCCUGGCUGCGGCCGGAGUGUCAGUUCUCUAAGUCCUUUAAGCACGCAUUGGAUGAAGAGACCAACUGCCAGAGGAAGUGCAGCAAGGAAAUUUUGUGGCUGGAGUCGUGUUAUGAAUUCCUGGGGUUUGAAGAGGACAAACACUGAUGAUUAAAUGCAGUUAUAAGGUGGGAAUGGAUCUCCAUCAGGACCAUGCUAUAGUGACCUCUUUAUGGUAUGGAUUCAGUUUGUGCUUCCAUCUUCAGAAAGCAGUCUCACACCAAACAAGAAGUGCUUAUUGCUAGGAGUGUCAGCUGGAAGCCAGAAAGGCUGUUGUUGGGAAAGCUCUGCGUUUGGUGGUUUUGGACUAGAUCUAUUUAAGCUUGGAUUCUGUCAUUUUUUAUGAUACUAAUUUAGAUACAGGAGCACUCUGAGAAGCUCUAGUUCUGUUUCAGUUUUUGCUGAGGGUGAAGAGGAGACUUACUAUUACUGGCCACUAUUACUGUAAAGACCUAUAUUUUUAUUAUUGCAAAAUGAUAGUGGCCUAAUUGUCUGAAAGUCUGAUUCUUGGGCUUUGAGUGUUUCUGAUCAAGGAGAUUCCCACUUUAAUGUACACAUAGCCAUUUGUUUUUCUCAUAAAAAUCAGUGGCAGUGCACCAUGUCUGUUAUGUCAAUCAGCCUUAAUGAAGGCGCUGACUGCAUAUGCAUGGGGUGUGAAUUCCCUCGUUUCUGGAGUCAGGAUGUCAAACUCAUUCGAUAGCUGACAGCUGUGAUUAGAGCAAAGAAAGACUCCAGCAUGAAAGGCACUGACAGGAGAACCCAACUGCUGAAAAAGAAAUAAGAAGUAGCCAAACUGAUUUCCAACCCACAGUCAAGUUUGACUCACUGUGCACAGGAAAUCAAUGAGGAGAAUAUGAGCUAUUUUCCCCUCAUCGAUUUUCACUUCUAAUUAUUCCUUGGAGACAGCUUGGUUUAAUUUUUAUGCCUUUUUUGGGGGAAGCUUGGUUUAAUUUUUAUGCCUUUUUGGGGGACUAUAAAGAAUAUCCCAAAAUGUGCUGUAUGAAGUGCCCUAGCAAUAUCUGGCAUGUCUCCACCUUGUCAUCAGUACACGUGAAUUCUUCCUUUAACCUCUCUUCUUCCAUACCUUCACUUUCUUUUGACUCAGAAGUGCUAAGUAACUUCCAACUUAAGUGAAAGUAUUGAUGAAUAAUACAUUUUUGCAAUUACUCUGAAGUAACCCCCAAAUUGGGCUAUAUGCGGAGACAAAUUCCAUUAUUUUUUCACAUAAUUUGUUCAAAAUGAGAUGAUUUUCUUUGAGAGAAGAGUCUUUCUUCCUUUUUAGUCAUUCAUUGUUCUCCUCUGGUUGGCCUGAAGAAAUCCAGGUAACCUCAUGACUUUAAGUUUUCCCUUGGAAUUUCCUGUACCACCCCAUAUCUUUGGUAUUCCUGCCAGUUGGCAAAUACUAUAAACUACACCAUAUAGUAUCUUAUGCCCAUUUUUCUGAUAAAGCAUUGUCAACCUAAACAGAACUCCUAGUAUUCUACUAGUUUCCCUCCAGAAAAUAGACACUAGUUUCUUCUAAAAUGCCCUUUAAUACCAAGGCAGAAUUAGAGGAUGACAGUGGUAUCCAUAAAUUUUCCCUAUAACAGACCUUAUAUCAUGCAAUAGAUGUAUAGAGUUAGUGUUUCAGAAGAUUUUCAAAACCAUUGUCUGCUUGUUAGGACAAAGGGCGCCUCUGGGGUAUUCCUUUUCAGGACCCAUGGUAACACAGGUAAUUACUUCCUACAAGGAAAUGCUCCCUGUUGGAAUUGAGCAAUUUCCUAGAGCACAGGCUUUAGAGUUACAUGCAGCUAGAGGUGAUGUUUAAAAGUGUAUUCCCUUGAAUAAAACAAACUCUCAGCUGCAGUUUCCUCACGUUAAGAGGGUUGAUGUGAAGUUUAAAUGAUAUUAAUAUGGAUGAAAUGCCUAAAUCAUCCCAGGUCCCCAAUAUGGAUCAUUUAACUGUUUCUUUCUUCCAUUUUUUCCCUUCCUCUAGUUUUUUCUUCUUCUCUCCAUUCUUUUCUCUCCUUUCUUGCUCCUUCUGAUCAUUCCAUUUCACUUCUCCACCUCCCUGCUGUGUCUUUCCGCUCUUCUUAACACCCUUUUGUUCAAUCUUUUCUUUCUUCAAGUUCUCCCUGAGAACAAUCUCCAGCAUUCAUAUAGUGGACUUAGUAAAGAAUAUUUUUUUCUCCCCGCAGACAGCCCAUUAUUUACUUUGAACCUUCUACUUCUGCUUUUUCACAAUUCCCAUUUUUAAAUUUCUGGCUCCAGUUCUUAUCUCAGUGCGUUGCCUUUAGCAAAUAGUCUGUUUCUCAGGGUUGGGGCCGAAUUGUAACUAUUUCCUCAUCUAUUAAUUUUGCUCCAAGAAGGAAAAGGAAGGUCUGAAGGUUGCACUAAAUCUCAUGCACUUUAUGUACCUCUUCUUUUCUCUGGCAACCCAUCAACAAAAUCUGUAAGCUAUUUUCAAGUUCUCUGAUCUAUUUAGUUUCAGAAUUACUUUGGUAAGUAUAACACCAAACAGUGAAGUGAGGAAAACAAACAGGCGAGUGGGUGAGUGUCCACAAAAUGAACUCCUGUGUCACCCCAACCGGUCAAAAGAAGUAAAACACUGUCCACAUCCCAGGAGCCACUCCCAGGAGAGUGAUGUGCACUCUGAGUCAUUUCUCCUGCUCUCCUUCCCAAAUUAGUUAUCUGAUUUCUAGCACUUAGUUCUGUUUGCUUCAUUUAACAUUAUGUCCAUGGAAUUAUCCAGUGGACAGUCUUUUGUUUUGAGUGUCUUAUGCCCAACAUGAUAUGUAUGAUAGUCAUCUGUGUUGUAUGCAGUAGUAGUUUCUUUAUUUUUAUUGCUGUGUAGUAGUCAAUUGUAAGUAAGCACCAACGUUUAUUUAUACUUUUACCAUUGAUAGAUAUUUUGUUUCCAGGCUUUGAAUAAUAUGAAUUGUAGUGCCACAAGCAUUAUUUCACUUGUCAUUUGGUGCAGGUGGGUUUGAGUUUAUUU